UGUAUUUCCUACACUAACGUGAAAGGAUCAAGAAAAUUAAAACUUUCCAGAAUUCUAUUUCUGGCUCUAUGUCAAUUCCAGUACCACUUCUUCCCGGCCCCUACACACUUGCAAGAGCCUUUUAUGAACAGUCAACUUACAUCUUCCAGAAAUUAUCCUUCAAAGCUACCUUUUAGAUCACAACCUUAGGAUGCCAAGAAAGCAUAGAAGCAUCAGACGAUAAAGAAGUGAACAUAUGAAAAUGAGACAUUAUAACAGAUGAGAGCACUCACUCCUCUGUAGGUGCUUGAAAAUCAUCUCUAUAAUCAGUAUUAUCAGCAACUAUGGCAUAUUGAGAUGAAAUAUUCACUCCUGAGGCACCAGCACGACAGACAUUGAUGAUGAAACCCGCAGGAAUGAUGUUCUCAAAUGGAAAGGUUUGUUGUGAAAUCAAAUGUGAAAGUAUCAUGGAGGAUGAAGGACUUUUUAAAUUGUAGAGGUCUCUUCAAAGAGAAAGAUACUCUGCAAUGUACCAGAUUUACAUAAACAAUUGCAAAUCUCUUGUGAUGGAGGCAACCAUUUCAUGUUAUCUAAGAAGUCAUCAAAGUUAGAACGCCGUGAUUCCUGAAUCUCUAAGCUGACUUUGUGUCUUUACUGUGGUCUACUUCAAAUAUCCAGACUGGCUUGGAAGAACGGAACUCUUUAAUCAAGAUUUUACGUCUGGGGAUACACGUGAAACACAUGUGUUUAAGUUCUCUUCAAUUCUUCUUACAUAAUGGCUCAUCCUUUAAGCUGAGUUGUUUCUUUGGAUUGGACUUUAGAAUUAAAUAAGUAU